UGUCCGGGAUGUUAACCUCCUGGUACCCGAAGCUCACGCANUAAGUAACCCGCCUGGGGAGUACGGUCGCAAGACUAAAACUCAAAGGAAUUGANCGGGGGCCCGCACAAGCGGUGGAGUAUGUGGUUUAAUUCGAAGCAACGCGCAGAACCUUACCUGGGCUUAACAUCCCCUGACAUCCACAGAGAUGUGGCUUUCCCUUCGGGGACCAGGGAGAUAGGUGCUGCAUGGCUGUCGUCAGCCCGUGUCGUAAGAUGUUGGGUUAAGUCCCGCAACGAGCGCAACCCUUGCUCUUAGUUGCCACCAUUAAGUUGGGCACUCUGAGAGGACUGCCGGUGUUAAACCGGAGGAAGGCGGGGAUGACGUCAAGUCCUCAUGGCCCUUACGUCCCAGGGCUACACACGUACUACAAUGGCAGAGACAAAGGGCCGCGAAACCGCGAGGUGGAGCUAAUCCCAAAAACACUGUCUCAGUCCGGAUUGAAGUCUGCAACUCGACUUCAUGAAGCUGGAAUCGCUAGUAAUCGCAGAUCAGCACGCUGCGGUGAAUACGUUCCCGGGCCUUGUACACACCGCCCGUCACACCACGAAAGUGAUUAUAACCAGAAGCAGAUGAGCCAACCGCCAAGGGGGCAGUCUACCAAGGUUGUAGUCGUGAUUGGGGUGAAGUCGUAACAAGGUACC
rnacentral:rRNA from 1 species